rnacentral:rRNA from 1 species
UACGUAGGGUGCAAGCGUUGUCCGGAAUUAUUGGGCGUAAAGAGCUCGUAGGCGGUUUGUCGCGUCUGCUGUGAAAGACCGGGGCUCAACUCCGGUUCUGCAGUGGGUACGGGCAGACUAGAGUGCAGUAGGGGAGACUGGAAUUCCUGGUGUAGCGGUGAAAUGCGCAGAUAUCAGGAGGAACACCGAUGGCGAAGGCAGGUCUCUGGGCUGUAACUGACGUGAGGAGCGAAAGCAUGGGGAGCGAACAGG